rnacentral:rRNA from 1 species
GUAGGUGGCAAGCGUUGUCCGGAAUUAUUGGGGCGUAAAGCGCGCGCGGCGGUUCUUUAAGUCUGAUGUGAAAGCCCACGGGCUCAACCGUGGAGGGUCAUUGGAAACUGGAGAACUUGAGUACAGAAGAGGAAAGCGGAAUUCCACGUGUAGCGGUGAAAUGCGUAGAGAUGUGGAGGAACACCAGUGGCGAAGGCGGCUUUCUGGUCUGUAACUGACGCUGAGGCGCGAAAGCGUGGGGAGCAAACAGGAUUAGAUACCCUGGUAGUCCACGCCGUAAACGAUGAGUGCUAAGUGUUAGGGGGUUUCCGCCCCUUAGUGCUGCAGCUAACGCAUUAAGCACUCCGCCUGGGGAGUACGGCCGCAAAGGCUGA